rnacentral:rRNA from 1 species
GCUGAAGCAACAAAUGCCCUGCUUCCAGGAAAAGCCUCUAAGCAUCAGGUAACAUCAAAUCGUACCCCAAACCGACACAGGUGGUCAGGUAGAGAAUACCAAGGCGCUUGAGAGAACUCGGGUGAAGGAACUAGGCAAAAUGGUGCCGUAACUUCGGGAGAAGGCACGCUGACACGUAGGUGAAGUGAUUUACUCAUGGAGCUGAAGUCAGUCGAAGAUACCAGCUGGCUGCAACUGUUUAUUAAAAACACAGCACUGUGCAAACACGAAAGUGGACGUAUACGGUGUGACGCCUGCCCGGUGCCGGAAGGUUAAUUGAUGGGGUCAGCGCAAGCGAAGCUCCUGAUCGAAGCCCCGGUAAACGGCGGCCGUAACUAUAACGGUCCUAAGGUAGCGAAAUUCCUUGUCGGGUAAGUUCCGACCUGCACGAAUGGCGUAAUGAUGGCCAGGCUGUCUCCACCCGAGACUCAGUGAAAUUGAACUCGCUGUGAAGAUGCAGUGUACCCGCGGCAAGACGGAAAGACCCCGUGAACCUUUACUAUAGCUUGACACUGAACAUUGAGCCUUGAUGUGUAGGAUAGGUGGGAGGCUUUGAAGUGUGGACGCCAGUCUGCAUGGAGCCGACCUUGAAAUACCACCCUUUAAUGUUUGAUGUUCUAACGUGGACCCGUAAUCCGGGUUGCGGACAGUGUCUGGUGGGUAGUUUGACUGGGGCGGUCUCCUCCUAAAGAGUAACGGAGGAGCACGAAGGUUGGCUAAUCCUGGUCGGACAUCAGGAGGUUAGUGCAAUGGCAUAAGCCAGCUUGACUGCGAGCGUGACGGCGCGAGCAGGUGCGAAAGCAGGUCAUAGUGAUCCGGUGGUUCUGAAUGGAAGGGCCAUCGCUCAACGGAUAAAAGGUACUCCGGGGAUAACAGGCUGAUACCGCCCAAGAGUUCAUAUCGACGGCGGUGUUUGGCACCUCGAUGUCGGCUCAUCACAUCCUGGGGCUGAAGUAGGUCCCAAGGGUAUGGCUGUUCGCCAUUUAAAGUGGUACGCGAGCUGGGUUUAGAACGUCGUGAGACAGUUCGGUCCCUAUCUGCCGUGGGCGCUGGAGAACUGAGGGGGGCUGCUCCUAGUACGAGAGGACCGGAGUGGACGCAUCACUGGUGUUCGGGUUGUCAUGCCAAUGGCACUGCCCGGUAGCUAAAUGCGGAAGAGAUAAGUGCUGAAAGCAUCUAAGCACGAAACUUGCCCCGAGAUGAGUUCUCCCUGAGACUUUAGGUCUCCUGAAGGAACGUUGAAGACGACGACGUUGAUAGGCCGGGUGUGUAAGCGCAGCGAUGCGUU